UAUUGCCUACGGGGCGCAGCAGUGGGGGAUAUUGCACAAUGGGGGGAACCCUGAUGCAGCGACGCCGCGUGAGGGAAGACGGUUUUCGGAUUGUAAACCUCUGUCUUUAGGGGCGAAACAAAUGACGGUACCUAAACAGGAAGCUACGGCUAACUACGUGCAAGCAGCAGCGGUAAUACGUAGGUGGCAAGAGUUGUCCGGAAUUACUGGGUGUAAAUGGAGCGUAGGCGGGAAUGCAAGUUGAAUGUUUGAACUAUGGGCUCAAACCAUA
rnacentral:rRNA from 1 species